rnacentral:tRNA from 2 species
CCUUCGAUAGCUCAGUUGGAAGAGCGCGAGACUGUAAAUCUUGAGGUCGCUGGUUCGAUCCCGGCUCGAAGGA